rnacentral:rRNA from 1 species
AUUGAACGCUGGCGGCAGGCCUAACACAUGCAAGUCGAACGGAGCGGCGGACGGGUGAGUAAUGCCUAGGUAUCUGCCUGGUAGUGGGGGCUAACGUCAGGAAACGGGCGCUGAUACCGCAUACUAUCAGAUGAGCCUAGGUCGGAUUAGCUAGUUGGUGGGGUAAAGGUCUACCAAGACGACGAUCCGUAACUGGUCUGAGAGGAUGACAAGUCACACUGGAACUGAGACACGGUCCAGACUCCUACGGGAGGCAGCAGUGGGGAAUAUUGGACAAUGGGCGAAAGCCUGAUCCAGCCAUGCCGCGUGUGUGAUGAAGGUCUUCGGAUUGUAAAGCACUUUAAGUUGGGAGGCGUUACCAGCAGAAUAAGCACCGGCUAACUUCGUGCCAGCAGCCGCGGUAAUAC